rnacentral:rRNA from 1 species
UACAGGGGGGGCAAGCGUUGUUCGGAAUUACUGGGCGUAAAGGGCUCGUAGGCGGCCAACUAAGUCCGACGUGAAAUCCCAAAGCUUAACUUUGGAACUGCGUCGGAUACUGGAUGGCUUGAGUUCGGGAGAGGGAUGCGGAAUUCCAGGUGUAGCGGUGAAAUGCGUAGAGAUCAGGAAGAACAUCGGUGGCGAAGGCGCUCUGCUGGACCAUAACUGACACUCAGGGACGAAAGCUAGGGGAGCGAAUGGG